AGGGGGUUCGACACCCUCAGCCCCCUGUUGAUCGUUUCAUUUUAAGGCAGGACCGCAGGACUACAUUGUACUAUUGUAGCAGGACUGUUGGGUUUGUUCUGCAGUUUGAGAUGGAAUUAUGUUGUCUUUUUUAUAAGCCUAUAUUAUGUAUACUGUAUACGUGACGACCGUGAUAUGGUUGAUUUCUGAGAGAAAUCCAACUAUAUUUAAAUCUAUCACCUAAGCAGUAUAGUGAAACUGAAGUCCCGCACUGCUACUGCUGCUGUUAUAAUGAAGUGUUUAUCAUCAUUAUCAACCUCAAGUUUCAUAUUUAUACAAAAAUUAUGAUGCUGAGGUUGUGUUGUUCAAUCCAAGUAGAGUCAUCAUCAACUGUUUGUUACCAGAAUUUCAUUCAAUUUGCUUUACAUGAAACCAAAUCACACUUGAUUGCUUCCUCCUUGCAGGGCUUAUGAAGAGUUAAAAAGGGAGACGCAUUAGGGCUAAAUGCAGGUUUGGUGCAAGAGCUGGUCUUUCUAGAGUGUGCAGUUGCAGGUGCUUAAGUGUUGGUCUUGUAGUGUGUGCAGUUGCAGGUGCUUAAGUGCUGGUUUUUUGUUGUGUGCGGGUACAUGAGUUGAAAUUGCAACAAUAUCUGAUUUGAAGAAUGGUCUGCAGGUGUUGGAACAUACACGGCUGGUUACUUACAAGCUGAUGCAGUAUUUUGUAUAGUUAGAAUUUUGAUUGGUAUAUCUUGUAGAAAUGUAAAAUCCUUUAUUGAAUGACGUAUAGAAUAGGAUUCUCUUGCAUUUUUCGUUCAUGUCUAGUAGGUGGUGGGUAUGUCCAUCAUUGAAAGAUGUUAAAAUUUUUGUAUGAAAUUUGUGGUUAAUAAGAUAAUGAGGUACU